rnacentral:lncRNA from 1 species
UCUGCCUAGUUCAACUUCCCUGGGUUGAUGGUGAAAGUGAAAGUGAAGUCGCUCAGUCCUGUCCGACUCUUUAAGACCCCAUGGACAGUAGCCUACCAGGCUCCGCUGUCCAUGGGAUUUUCCAGGCAAGAAUACUGGAGUGGGCUGUCAUUUCCUUCUACAGGGGAUCUUCCCAACCCAGGGAUCGAACCCAGGUCUCCUGCAUUGCAGACAGACGGUUUACCGUCUGAGCCACCAGGAAAGCCCACUUACUUAUCACACGCUCUGCACAACAUGUUAGUGUUGUGUACCAGAAAUAAUGAGGGCAAGCGGCAAGAGUUGAGACCUAAGAGAUUAGAAGGCACUGAAAACACAGCCCGGAAGCCACGUGGGAUGAAUGAAUUUCACAGCUGUUCCGAAUGACUCAAAGUGUCAAGUAUGAAUACUUCCUAUUAAUAUAGAAAAGUAACAUUUAAGGUAUUGUUAGAAGAAAUGCUGUAUUUUCCCAGCUUAUUAACAACUUUCUCAUCUUUUCCUUAUUUCACCAUGCCCACUCUGCAUGAAGAAAUUUGCCAAAUGAUAAAAUUGUGACAGCAUUUUCUCUGCUUCUGUAUGGGAUGUGAGUCCAGAUGAUAGUAUGUAUGUGCAUCUGUGUGUGUUAGGAUAGAGCAGGCAGUGUGGC